rnacentral:rRNA from 1 species
AUUGAACGCUGGCGGCAGGCUUAACACAUGCAAGUCGUGCGGAAGAAUGGAGUUGGCCCCUGUAUUCAGCGGCGGACGGGUGAGUACUGCCAAGGAACUUGCCUGGCAGUGGGGGAUAACGUCCGGAAACGGGCGCUAAUACCGCAUACGUCCUGAGGGAGAAAGUGGGGGACCUUCGGACCUCACGCUAUCAGGUGAGCCUAGGUCGGAUUAGCGAGGUGGUGGGGUAAAGGCCUACCAAGGCGACGAUCCGUUACUGGUCCGGGAGGAUGAUAAGGCACACUGGAACUGAGACACGGUCCCGACUCCUACGGGAGGCAGCAGUGACGAAUAUUGGACGAUGGAGGGAAGACUAAUCCAGCCAUGCCGCGUGUGUGAACAAGGUCUUCGGAUUGUAAAACGCUUUAUGUUGGGAUGAAGAGCAGUUACUUAAUACCUUACUGAAAUGACGUUACCAGCAGAAGAAGCACCGGCUAACUUCGUG